rnacentral:siRNA from 1 species
UCAAGCAAGGGGUUAUUCGAC